CGCCGCGGCCCCACCCUCCCGCAUCAGCACCGGCUGGGUGGGUGCGGAGUGCGCCAGCGGCCAAGUCAAGACUCCUUGAAUGCUCAGGAAGGUGUGACUUGCAGAGGAGUUGAUUCCUUCUUAUGUACAUUUACUGGAGAAGUUUACAGCAGGAGACUGGGGUCUGAGACACACGCAUCUUUGUGUGCCCCAAAGAAUAAAGCCCUCAAAGGAUGUGAAGCCUGAACUCACUUCAAAUGCUGGAAAGGCCCUUUCCUUAGCUGAGCUGUGGAGGAACCAGGACUCCUGUGGCACUGCCCUAACGAGGAGGCAGUGCUGCCAGAUUCAGAAAAAUAUUUGAAGAAUCACAUAGUCAAAAGCAAAAAUCCAGAAAUGGUCAAGAGAACUACGAUUAUUGAGCCUCACUGAGUGUUCACACUGGUCUGCAAGACAGCUUUGAUUCAGCUGAUUUCAGCCAGGCUCACCCCGACUUUGCAGGGCGCUGCGAACCCCAGCCUUCAGGUCGGGUUCAGCAUCCAGCAGUGCCCUGGAAAAGUGGCUGUGAAGUUACUUGCAAGACUGCAUUGAACCCGGGCGAGACACUUCUCAGGGGAGCUGUCCAGCUACAUUCUCUGAACACAGGGAGAAGUCACAGUCUAUGAACCAGGAAUGUGGACCUCACCAGAUACUGAAUCUGCUGGUGCCUUGAUCUUGGACUUCCCAGCCUCCAGAACUGUCCUGAACAGCUUGGAGUACUAAGAAGAGCGCUGGACAUGAACUGGAAUAUGUGGGUUCAAAUCCCACCUUUUCACUGCCCAGCUCUGUGACCCUGAGCAAGUGACUCAACCUCUGUGAGCCCCGUGUCCUCUCUGUAAAAUGGAGGUAUGAAUGCCUGUGAGAACAGGAUAUGGGGAGGGUUCCUGUAUAACACUUCGCCCUGCCCAUCUGAAUAAAAGGCUGCAUUCACCCUUCCUAAGGAAGACCACUUUCCGAUGUUCCAGUCUGAAGACAAGGAAUGCAAAGCUCACGGAUGCCGAGGAAUUUAUCCAAGAUCACUGUGAUGGGAUGGGAACUUUGGUUUUCAGCCUUUAAAUACAUUGGUGCAGAAGUCCAAGAAAGAUGCUUGGAAAGACCUAGUGAGAUGAAGAUCUCACUAUGUUGCCUGGGCUGGUCUUGAAUUCCUGAGCUCAAGUGAUCCUCCAACCUUGGCCUCCCAAAGUGAUGGAAUUACAGGCGGUUUUUGGCUGUGAUCACUGGGAGAGAUAGAAGGGACUGUAUUUGCUCCAUCUUACCCAGCUCUGCAAACCUGCUGGAGAGUUUAAUUGAAAUUUUACCUAGGCUUACUCGUCCUGGAAAACCACAGACAAUACCUCUGGCUGCACGGGACACUGAAAUCUGUCGGGACCACUCCCUCUCCCAGCACAAUCAUCCAGGGGCACAGUCCUCAGCGGGAGCUCCAUCUCCUUGACCUCUUUCCCCAAGCAGGAAGAAAAUCUCAUGCUAUCAUAAUGUGCUGAAAUUGUGUUUGGAGAUGUAGUUUCCUAGGAAAAACAUCAUUUGGUUUCACAGAAGCUUCCUGUUGGAAACAGGAAAGAGGGGGACAAUGCUAAGGGCUGAGGGGCCCUCCUAGAAGGGCAGCAGGAGUGAUGGUCUUCUCAGCCCCGGCCCCUCCGCAACCAGCGAGAUGAUGCUGAGACUUGGUGAGGGCAGGGGGAUAGGAAAGGAGAGAGCAGAGGAUACAGGGAAGGUGGGGCUUGCAGGUGCCUAAGAGGGGCUGUCUCUGCUAGAAUCAAAUAAAAGGACAAAAGAAAAAGAA
ensembl:lncRNA novel transcript